GACACAGUCAAUGCCAUCGCAUUUCAGCAG
rnacentral:piRNA from 1 species